rnacentral:rRNA from 1 species
UGCUAGCUUGCUAAUAAUUCUCUAGUGGCGCACGGGUGAGUAACACGUGAGUAACCUGCCCCCAAGAGUGGGAUAGCCCCGGGAAACUGGGAUUAAUACCGCAUAAAAUCGCAAGAUUAAAGCAGCAAUGCGCUUGGGGAUGGGCUCGCGUCCUAUUAGUUAGUUGGUGAGGUAACGGCUCACCAAGGCGAUGACGGGUAGCCGGUCUGAGAGGAUGUCCGGCCACACUGGAACUGAGACACGGUCCAGACACCUACGGGUGGCAGCAGUCGAGAAUCAUUCACAAUGGGGGAAACCCUGAUGGUGCGACGCCGCGUGGGGGAAUGAAGGUCUUCGGAUUGUAAACCCCUGUCAUGUGGGAGCAAAUUAAAAAGAUAGUACCACAAGAGGAAGAGACGGCUAACUCUGUGCCAGCAGCCGCGGUAAUACAGAGGUCUCAAGCGUUGUUCGGAAUCACUGGGCGUAAAGCGUGCGUAGGCGGUUUCGUAAGUCGUGUGUGAAAGGCGGGGGCUCAACCCCCGGACUGCACAUGAUACUGCGAGACUAGAGUAAUGGAGGGGGAACCGGAAUUCUCGGUGUAGCAGUGGAAUGCGUAGAUAUCGAGAGGAACACUCGUGGCGAAGGCGGGUUCCUGGACAUUAACUGACGCUGAGGCACGAAGGCCAGGGGAGCGAAAGGGAUUAGAUACCCCUGUAGUCCUGGCAG